GCCGUGCCUCAGCCUCGCGGUGCUCCCACCCGUUCCUCCUUGUGUGGCAAGUUGUGGCCAGCGGGAAUUUGCCUGGCGGGAGAGCUUUGCCUACUCAGGGUGACACCUUCCAGAAGAACAUCUACCUGCCCGGGCCCGGGGCUGAGGCUAGGCCAGGCCACAGCGGGACCUGUUAACUCCGCCUGAUCCAGGGGGUUAAAUCUCCCCGCGGGCAGGCUCCCCCCGCACCUGCGGGAGGCUGAGCCGCGGACACCGAGCCCCGGUGCGGCCGUGCCCCGGCGGGCCGGGCAGGGAGGGGCGGAGGCCGCUCCCGCCGACCCACGCCCUCGCCCACAAGAUGGCGCCGCCGCCCCGGCCGCCCCCUCCCUCCUGCCUGCGCCCGCCCACCCACGGGCCCAGGGCACCGGAGGAGUCGUAACCCUGGAGAAAACGAGCGCAACUAGGAUCCACUUAAGGCAAAAUUAAUGCUAAUUAACCGUAAUCAACAGCUCGAGGAACAACUUUUACUCGGCAAGCUGCAGAUACUGCAGUCGCGGUUCGCCCGUCAGGCAGGAGCAGCAGAAGAUGGGGUGUGGAAAAGGAAAAUGAACCUGUCUGCCGUGGGUGUCACCCUCCCCGCUGCGUCCGGCACUUGUCGCCCUUCUCUGCGCCAGAGGAGCUUUUCAGCUCAGAUCAUUGGAAGCAGAACAGGCAGCACAGCUGCUGUGACCCUGGGAACCAGCAUGGACCCCCACAGUGGACACUUGAGUGCAGUCACACCUCACUUUAGAUUGGCACAGCUUUCCUCAUGCGCUCCAGGCUUCUGCCAGCUCCCAGGAGGAAAUCUGGGAAAGGAUUAAGUAGCUAAGUAUCUCAUUGGCAAGUGAAUAUACUGGGGUUUUUUCUUUCUAUUAAUUCCUCAACUUUGCUUUGAUUGUGGACUGUGGAGAAUAUGCAGGCUGAUACAGCUGUAAUAGCACACCCUCCUAGGGUGGAAAAACAAAAUUUUGCCACCAGGCCCUAUUCUGGCUAUGAAAACUAAAUAAAGGAUCCUGGCAAAAACA
rnacentral:lncRNA from 1 species